rnacentral:tRNA from 1 species
GGACAAGUGGGAGAGCUGGCUGAAUCCGCGCCCCUGCUAAGGGCGUGUAGGUGCAAACUUACCGAGGGUUCGAAUCCCUCCUUGUCCGCCA